ensembl:lncRNA
AAUUGACUGAAAUAUUCUGAAAUUCAAUGCAAAUUAUACCUGAAUAAAAAAGUAAUCUAGGGGCAUGAGGAAGUUGAGAAUUAUUUUCUAAAUACUAUGGAGAGUUUCAGAUUAGUGUUUUGUCCUAAAGAAAACUCUUUCCCUACUCAUGCUAUUUUACCAAAUGAAUCAAACUACAAGCAGACUUCUGAAACCAGAUUUUCUGGCUGGAAGAUUGGCAGUCAGCAUUCACCUGCCUCAUCCAUGGUUUUUGUCACUUUUGGUUGCCAGUGUCGGAAUAUUGUUUCAUUAAAUGAUUUGUCAUAACUGUAGAAAAUGUAACUGUGGUUAGAAGACAGAUAGAAAGAUGCAUACAUAUAUAGAAAGACAGACGGACACAAAGAUAGAGUAAUCUGGUAAGCAUACAAGCAAUCUGUGUCAUCUCUUGGUUCCUUCCUACCUAUAGCCAGAGACUUGUUAUUAAUAUUGCAUGAAAGAAAGCUGCUGAAUGUUUGAAUCUAUUCCACUGGAUAUGAAGAUGCAAACUGACUUUAAUGAUGGACUUCUGACACAGAUUGCUGCCAAAAAUAAGCUGACACAAAAACAGCACUGUCUCCUCCCUGCCUGGGUCUUCGAUCAUGAAACAUGGCAGCAUUUAUGUUUCAGGAUAGUACCUGAAGAAAAUGCUUCACAGGGACACAGGCAGGUAAGUAGAAUAACAUUUACAUGCAUAUUUUUCCUCCCUUGUGAACAGUUUUUCAUUAAAGGGAGUGAUUAGGUUCUUGUUAUUCUUAUACUCUUUUCCAUUGCUUAGGGAGAUUCUGCUGUAAUCUGGCUCAUACUCUGAAGGAUUUUAAAAUAACUUUCUGUCCA